rnacentral:rRNA from 1 species
GGAGUUAGCCGGUGCUUCUUCUGCGAGUAACGUCACAGAUGUAAGGUAUUAACUUACACCCUUUCCUCCUCGCUGAAAGUGCUUUACAACCCGAAGGCCUUCUUCACACACGCGGCAUGGCUGCAUCAGGGUUUCCCCCAUUGUGCAAUAUUCCCCACUGCUGCCUCCCGUAGGAGUCUGGGCCGUGUCUCAGUCCCAGUGUGGCUGAUCAUCCUCUCAGACCAGCUAGGGAUCGUCGCCUAGGUGAGCCUUUACCUCACCUACUAGCUAAUCCCACCUGGGCUUAUCCAUCAGCGCAAGGCCCGAAGGUCCCCUGCUUUCCCCCGUAGGGCGUAUGCGGUAUUAGCAGUCGUUUCCAACUGUUAUCCCCACAAAUGGGCAAAUUCCCAGGCAUUACUCACCCGUCCGCCGCUCGUCAUCUUCAAAAGCAAGCUUUUGAAAUGUUACCGCUCGACUUGCAUGUGUUAGGCCUGCCGCCAGCGUUCAAUCUGAGCAUGAUACAACUACUGA